AGGCAAGCAGCAUCAGUAGGGAAGGCACAUAGUUCGCUUCAUUUGCCAGCUGGCAAAUUCAACCCCCUCCCUCUCCACAGCUGCAGUGUAUGUAGUGUACACAGAGUCACCCAGAGGUAGGUGGGCAUAAUCUCUCUUUGUCUCACUGUGGAGGGCAGCAGCAGCAGUGUGUGGGAAGAGUGGCCACCAGCCCCUCUCUCACUGAAAGGGGCAACUCCAUAUGGGCAGAGGAAAGGAGGAGUCUCGAACAUCCCAAGAGUUAGCGGGUAGUGGACACUGUUGGAGCAAGUUGCUUUGUUGGAGCUCUCCAUGGUGCUGCCUUGUGGGCCUCUUUUCAAGGUUAGGUUGGAGAAGUUGAUAGGUCUGUUCUGGCUUUUCUAGGCCACUAUGGCUGCAGACUUCUGAAUACCAGUGGCUGGGAACUGUAGGAGGGGAGAUUGCUCUUGUGCUCAACUCCUGCUUGCAGGCUACCCAUGAGCUGGUUGGCCACUGUGAAAAUAGGAUGUUGUACUAGAUGGGCCAUUAGCCUGAACCAGCAGGCUCUUCUCCAAUUGUUAAAUGUACAUCUGGUGCAUAUUAUUGUAUAGUUAUGUUUCUCUCUCAUUAUCUUCCUUCUCCUACUGCUCUUCUGCUCCUUCUUUAGAAGCUAUCUCAUGCUCUGAAAGAAAGUAUGGCUCAGGCUCUUAAGCGCAACUUCACACAAGUUAACACAUGCUAUUGCAUGUAAUGGCCUAUAUAGUAUGCAUUGUAUACAUACGAUUGUGUAUCAUCUGACCCGUCUACUGCAAUUAUUAAGUUUGCAGAUGAUACCACCAUAAUGGGUUUAAUAACAGGUGGAGACGAAUCAGCAUAUAGAGGGGAGGUCCAAAAAAUAUCUACAUGGUGCCUAGGGAACAACUUGCACCUUAAUAUCAGAAAGACAAAGGAGAUGGUGUUGGACUUUCGGAGGAAGAGAGGAGAACUAGCCCCACUGUACAUCGGGGAGGGGUGUGUGGAGAGAGUCUCUUCCUUUAAAUUCCUAGGAGUUUAUCUCAGUGAAGACCUUACUUGGAAAAUAAAUACAACCCAGGUGGUUAAGAAAGCCUAACAGAGACACCAUCUCCUAGGAGUAUUGUGGAAGAACAAUGUCAAUCAACAUUUGAUGAUCUCCUUCUACCGGUCAACAAUAGAAAGUGUUCUUUCAUACUGCAUCACGGUGUGGUACGCUGGUUUGACAUCAACUCUACAGAGAGUGGUGAAUACAGCACAAGAUAUUAUGGGCUGUCCCAUGAAUCCGCUGGAUGAAAUAGCAGAAGAACGUUGCCUCAGCAGAGUGAGGAAAAUUCUCAGGGAUGAUUCACACCUUGGCUGGCACUCUCUUGAUCUCCUGCCCUCAGGCAGAAGAUAUAGAAGCAUGAUUAGUCACACCAACAAGGCAAAGAACAGCUUCUAUCUGUGGGCUGUUAGGCUGCUGAAUGAAAAGGUAGCAACAGGGCAACGGACUUUCAGGUGUGGUGGGUGUGCGUCAGUAAACGAGGGGAAUUAAGACUAAGAGAGCUGAGUGGGGGGUGCUCAUGUAAUCUCACUGUAUACAAGUUGUACAAGUGACAAUAAAGUAUAUAUAUAUGUAUAUGUGUGUGUGUGUGUAUAUAUAUAUAUAUAUAUAUAUAUAUAUAUAUAUAUAUAAUCAAUGGGCUUGGACUGAAGUCCAUGGGCAUUGUGAUUUUAAACUGCAGCUAUUUAUGCACUGUAACUAGUGCAAAGACAUGUGUUGAGCAGGAUUGUAAUCUCUACAUAAACAAACACAUUAGUUAAUUGAGGCCCAUUGAUGUCUUUCAAUUGAGUUCAAUAGGCUUUUAAUUAAUACCAGCAUGAUGUUUUGGUAGUAAGGCGCCCAUUUUUAUCAUAUUGGUUAAAAAAUAAACAUGAAAAGAUGUAUAGGUUGACUAACUUCUUCAGUCUGCCCGAACCCAAAGUGGAAGACUCAUUCUGACAUCAUAAGCAUGGGCCAUAUUCCAUCUUGAACGUGCGGGCAAAUUUCACUCCUCAUCAAGAAAUGUUGGCAAAGGUCUCAGUCUGGGUUUAAGAGGAUCAGUGCCAAGCGGUGUUUGCUGUUUGAUACUGGAUUAAGCAUUUCAGAGCUGAGUCGGGGAAACCGAACGAGGCUCCACAACCCAAACCACAGCACAGAUAUUUUGAUUAGAAUAAAAUUUUCAAAGCACAGCAUCAUCACCCACUCAUUAUUUUGUAUAUUUUCUCUUUCACACUUUUUUUUCCUUUUUAAAAACGAAACAAAAAACCCUUACCCAUUCCCACUGUCUUCCCCACAUACUUUCAGAGGCAAAUAUCAUCAGUCGGCAAUUAUAAGAUUUUUUGCCCUGCGUACAAGGAUUUUGUUAGUGUGAUGUUUUUCAUCUGGUAUGUCUUUGUCUGUUACUUUCCUCGUGGGCUGUUCUGCUGAAUAAAGGCAGACAUUACUCAGAAUGAGAAUGGAGACUGUCUCUGUUACUCUUCACUGAGGCUUUAUUUAAAAUGCAUGCUUUGCCAGUGAAGUUUGCAUGGGCCUUUUAUUCCUGCAUCAGCUCUAGCCCUUCAGAUGUAUAUUUGUUACACGGCAGUAAUGCUUGUUAAAAAAAAAUAAAAAUCCAUUGGUUUGCCACAGGCAUUAACAUUGCAUUUUCAAUCAACUAUGAAACAGAAGGAAGGCAUCCAGGAUACAUAAUGCAUAAUAAAUCUGCUUUUUGCUUGAACUGAUCUGAUUGUUCUACAGAUUUAAAGGCAGAAUUAUAAAAAUUAUAGAAGGUUCCUUCUUCUUCUUAAUGUCAACUAAUUAGGUUAGAUAUUGAAAUAACAUAAAAACUUAUGUUAUGAUCCUAAGAACAAGCACUUCUCAUUAAAUUUGGUUUUAGAGGAACAGUGCUCUCUUCUCCCAUGGGCCCCUGUCUUGAUUAGUUAGUUAGUGAUGGGUUUUCUUACAUUUAGAGCCCAACCUUCCUCCCACAAGAUAGUUCAGAGGGACUAACAAUGUAAAUAAUAAUAAUAAUAAUAAUAAUAAUAAUAAUAAUAAUAAUUUAUUCCCCGCCCAUCUGGGAGGCUUCCAGCAAAAUAUUAAAAUACAGUAAUUCAUCAAAUAUUGCAAGCUUCCCUAAACAGGGCUGCCUUCUGAUGUCUUCUAAAAGUCAGAUAGCUGUUUAUUUCUUUGACACCUGAAGGGAGGGUGUUCCACAGGGCAGGUGCCACUACCUAGAAGGCCCUCUGUCUGGUUCUCUGUAACCUCAUUUCUCACAGUGAGGGAACCACCAGAAGGCCCUCAGAGCUGGACCUCAGUGCCUGGGCUGAAUGAUGGAGGUGGAGAUGCUCCUUCAAUAAAGUAUAGCCAAUCAAACCCACAUUCAAAUUGCAGCAGUAAAAUAUGCAGGGAUCUAUAGUAUGUAAAAUGAACCAUGGAAAGAGAAGAAGGGUAAGUCACUGUUAUUUUAAGGAUGUAAAAAUGAGUACUUUAAAUUGUAAAAUAGAAAAUUUAAUAAAAAAUAGAAAGAUAGAUAGAUAGAUAGAUAGAGAUAAUAGCAACCAUUAGAAUAGUUUCAUUUAAGCUAAGCAUAAUGAUGCAUUCACAAAACCUUUGUCUCACUGGAUACAUCAGAUCAAAAUACUAUAAUGAAAAAUCUAAAGUAGCUAUUGUAUAUCAAGAGCCAUCAUUUCUUAGAGGGUUUUCUUAAUGAUCAAAGCAGGCUAUCACAUGAUAAUCAUAGUCAUCACAUGAGAAACAUUCGCAAAGUUUGUGCCCAAGCAAUCUGUGGCUCCGUUGCACAAACAUUUGUGUGGUACUUCUUCUGUCUGCCGCCAAGUGCAACUCACGCUGUGUCCCAGAGGUGCCUCCAUUUCCAUGGCAAUCGCUAUUAAUAGUGUGCCUUUCAAUUUGUUAAGCAUGAGGGAUCUAUAAAAGGGAACGCUAUUAAUACAGCAGGGAAUUUUCCCACAGUAAAAAGAAAUCAAAGUUGAGCUUCAUUCGUAAGACUGCUGUAAACGAAGGACUUGUUUCCGCCUUACCUCUAUUGAGCUGUUUUAUAUAAGGCUGUGGUUUGUAUAUUUGCUGCGGGGAAUUAGAGUACAUCGCUACGUCAUAGGAUCGCAAUGCCCUUUACCCUACAACAACAGCCCACUUACAUCUUGGCAUGCCUUAAUAAACACCUUGGGCUGAAGUGGAGCAGGUUAUCAUCCUUCUCUCUCUCUCUCUUUUUAAUGAUACAGCAAGAAAAAGAAAAAAAGAGAAAACACAAAUAUAGAAUUACACACAGGAAUAACAAUAAACACAAAAUUUUAUUAACAAACAAUAAAACAUAAGUUGGUCUUAACACUAUAGACCUGACCUCCUGUCUAUUCCUUAUUCCAAUUUCUUAUUACUUAUUGCCAAUACACACUUUUAUCAUCAUUUAACAUUUUCGUAAUACAUCUUAACUCUUAUGGCUAACUUGCAACUAUUACUGAAGUUCCUCGAAUGCUGCAACAGAGUUUAAACUACUAUAUUUAUAUUUCAAAUAUUCUUUGAAAACCUCUCAUUUUGAGACAAUUCAGGUUAUUAUCCUUCUCAUGGUGUAGAAUGAUUGAGUCACAUUUAUUCAUACAUACAGCUUCGUGAAUGGGAUUGUUGUAUUUGGGGAGGGGCCACCCUGCCUUAGCUUUGCCAAUACUUAGCAAGCAUAUCAAAUGUAGCAAUUUGGAUCUUUGCAAUCAAUUGCAUGUGCCUUUUCAUGCAAGGUCAUCAUGGAGGCUGAGGUUGUCCUCUAGUAUUGACCCUCUAUUGAAUUCAACAGGACUUACUCCCAAGUGGAAAUAUCAAAAGCUGGCCAGAAACUGUUUAUGUAUGCUACUACGGCAGCUAGAACUUUAUUAGCCCAAAAGUGGAAACAGCAAGAAUUACCGACAGUAGAAGAAUGGCAGACGAAGAUGAUGGACUAUGCAGAAUUGGCAAAGCUGACAGGGGAAAUCCGAAACCAGAGUGACCAAGUGCUCCAGGGAGAAUGGAGUAAAUUUAUAAAGACACUAGCCGGACUGCGGUAAAGUUCACAACGUUUAAAAGAAGAAACUUUCUGCUUGUGCUUUAAGUUUUAAAUCAUUCAAGUUAAAUGUAGAAGUUAGAUGAUAUAAAUGUGUGGUUAUAAGAUGUGUUUUAUAAAAUCCAGAUGGCGGAAUGGAGGGAAGUCAAAAGCUCUGCAGAGCUAAAAAAUUGUGAAAGGUGAU
rnacentral:lncRNA from 1 species